UGGUUGGAGGAGGCCACUUAAUUCUGUGUCACUUAACCAUCCCAUUGGGGGAGGAAUCCAGUUGUUUCUUUAAGAAGAGCUAAUGAAAACGGUGACUCUGGAGUUCAUAGUCAGUCCUGCAGUAGAAGACUCUGUAGAGGACAAUUCACUAGUCUGAGCAAGAACAAGUAAAAUCAGAGCCGCUGCAUGAAAUGAGGUGUAUAAAGAAAUGUGCAAACAAAGAAAACGGAAGGAAUCCAAUGAUGAAGAAAUGGAAGCAGACACGUUAAAGAAUCUGUAGAGCAUUUCACCUAACUAGGUGACAGAGCCGGUACUUGAAGCCAGGCCACUUGACCGCAUGACCGUCCUCAGCCAAUGUGUUCAAUUUCCCUUCCGCAGUGAUGAGGUACUUGCUGCUCUCCGAGCGCAUCGACACUUGCCAUCCGGGUGUAUCUUUGCAGUGCCACUCCCUAUGCUUGGGAAUGUCUGCCACUCCCUCAUCACCUCGUUGACAAGGACAUCUACGUGGAAAGUUAUCAGCCCUUACCAGGAACCAUUUAGUGCUUUUCCCUCAUGUUCUCCUAGCAUUUAAAAUAAAGAAAUACUAAGUGUCUUUCUCACUGA